rnacentral:misc_RNA from 1 species
GAUGAAGAACGUAGCGAAAUGCGAUACGUAAUGUGAAUUGCAAAUUCAGUGAAUCAUCGAGUCUUUGAACGCACAUUGCGCCGCCUGGUAUUCCGGGGGGCAUGCCUGUCCGAGCGUCAUUGCUGCCCUCAAGCACGGCUUGUGUGUUGGGCCCCGUCCUCCGAUCCCGGGGGACGGGCCCGAAAGGCAGCGGCGGCACCGCGUCCGGUCCUCGAGCGUAUGGGGCUUUGUCACCCGCUCUGUAGGCCCGGCCGGCGCUUGCCGAUCAACCCAAAUUUUUUAUCCAGGUUGACCUCGGAUCAGGUAGGGAUACCCGCUGAACUUAAGCAUAUCAAUAAGCGGAGGA